AACGAACGCUGGCGGCAUGCCUAAUACAUGCAAGUCGAACGAGAUCUUCGGAUCUAGUGGCGCACGGGUGCGUAACGCGUGGGAAUCUGCCCUUGGGUUCGGAAUAACUUCUGGAAACGGAAGCUAAUACCGGAUGAUGACGUAAGUCCAAAGAUUUAUCGCCCAAGGAUGAGCCCGCGUAGGAUUAGGUAGUUGGUGAGGUAAAGGCUCACCAAGCCGACGAUCCUUAGCUGGUCUGAGAGGAUGAUCAGCCACACUGGGACUGAGACACGGCCCAGACUCCUACGGGAGGCAGCAGUAGGGAAUAUUGGACAAUGGGCGAAAGCCUGAUCCAGCAAUGCCGCGUGAGUGAUGAAGGCCUUAGAGUUGUAAAGCUCUUUUACCCGUGAUGAUAAUGACAGUACCGGGAGAAUAAGCUCCGGCUAACUCCGUG
rnacentral:rRNA from 1 species